ACGGGAGGCAGCAGUGGGGAAUAUUGGGCAAUGGGCGCAAGCCUGACCCAGCAACGCCGUGUGAAGGAAGAAGGUCUUCGGAUUGUAAACUUUUGUCUUAUGGGACGAUAAUGACGGUACCAUAGGAGGAAGUCACGACUAACUACGUGCCAGCAGUCGCGGUAAUACGUAGGUGACAAGCGUUAUCCGGAAUUAUUGGGUGUAAAGGGUGCGUAGGCGGGCUGUAAAGUCAGAUGUGAAAUUCCGGGGCUCAACCCCGGACCUGCAUUUGAAACUUACGGUCUUGAGUGAAGUAGAGGUAAGCGGAAUUCCCAGUGUAGCGGUGAAAUGCGUAGAUAUUGGGAGGAACACCAGUGGCGAAGGCGGCUUACUGGGCUUUUACUGACGCUGAGGCACGAAAGUGUGGGGAGCAAACAGGAUUAGAUACCCUGGUA
rnacentral:rRNA from 1 species